GUGCUUGCUUCAGCAGCACAUGUACUAAAAUUGGAACAACAUAAAGAAGAUUGGCAUGGCCUCUGUGCAAGAAUGACAUGCAAAUUUGUGAAGCGUUCCAUAUUUUU
rnacentral:snRNA from 1 species